AUUUUGUCUCGUGUGUUUGUAAGAAGAGGACCUGAUUUGUGUGACAAUGAUGGAUAACGUAAAUACCAGCAACGUCAUCUUAACUCUGGUGGUUUGCUGCCUGGGUUAUGGAGAAUGUCUGACUUGCAUUGUUGACGGGAAACCGAUGUGGUAUGACCGAGACAACCAACUGUGUUGUAAAGGCCUUCACCCGAGAGUAGAGAAUGAACUCGACAA